CGCCUCUUGAAUUUAUAUAAGAGGUCCAGCCUGCCCAGUGACCCUGUUCAACGGCCGCGGUAUCCUAACCGUGCGAAGGUAGCGUAAUCACUUGUUCUUUAAAUGAGGACUAGUAUGAACGGCAUCACGAAGGUUAUACUGUCUCCUUUUUCCAAUCAGUGAAUCUAAUCUCCCCGUGAAGAAGCGGGGAUAAAACUAUAAGACGAGAAGACCCUAUGGAGCUUAAAACAAUACAGCACUUGCUAAAAAAUUUAACAAUUCCAGAAUUUUUCAUUUUAUAAGCAACAUGACUGUAAGUUUUUGGUUGGGGUGACCACGGAGUAUAACACAACCUCCACGUUGAAAGAAUUUUAUUCUAAGCCAAAAAUUACAUUUUUAAGCAUCAAUAAAUUGACAUCUAUUGACCCAAUACUAUUGAACAACGAACCAAGUUACCCUAGGGAUACAGCGCAAUCCACUUCAAGAGCUCCUAUUGACAAGUGGGUUUACGACCUCGAUGUUGGAUCAGGGUUUCCCAGUGGUGCAGCCGCUACUAAAGGUUCGUUUGUUCAACGAUUAAAACCCU
rnacentral:rRNA from 1 species